AAAUUUUUAGUUUAAAGUAAAACAUUUUAUUUACAAUAAAAAAAUUUAUUAAUUAAAAAAUUUA
rnacentral:tRNA from 1 species